rnacentral:misc_RNA from 1 species
GAUGAAGAACGUAGCGAAAUGCGAUAAGUAAUGUGAAUCGCAGAAUUCAGUGAAUCAUCGAAUCUUUGAACGCACAUUGCGCCCCUUGGUAUUCCGAGGGGCAUGCCUGUUCGAGCGUCAUUACACCACUCAAGCUAUGCUUGGUAUUGGGUGCCGUCCUUAGUUGGGCGCGCCUUAAAGACCUCGGCGAGGCCUCACCGGCUUUAGGCGUAGUAGAAUUUAUUCGAACGUCUGUCAAAGGAGAGGACUUCUGCCGACUGAAACCCUUUAUUUUUCUAGGUUGACCUCGGAUCAGGUAGGGAUACCCGCUGAACUUAAGCAUAUCAAUAAGCGGAGGA